GCUUUGUGUUGUAGUAGGGAGAGGAAUCCAGGAGAGAACGGACCGGAGAGAUCCACGACGAGCGGAGAUCACAGAAGGAGAUGACUCUGGAAGAACCUUGGUUAUAGUAUUUGUGUUCGGUUUUCAAAGACAAUAAAAUGAUCUCCCGCUGAGGGACAACAACUCUGCCUGCGCUCACUCCUUCCAACCUGUUACAGUCAGGGCUGUAAUGGUCAAAUUGGAGAUUAUUCCAACGGCAGAAUACAAGGCACAGGGAACUUUGAGGUGCGUAAACGCCACUUAGAGCCCUGAUGAAGAUCCCCAUCCAAAUCCAUGCGAGCCUACAGAUAAUCUUGCAUUUUAAAUUUUCUAUUAUGUCAAAUGAUUUCGUAUUUUUUACUUUUUACUUUCGAUGCAUGCUGUAAAUAUAUGUCGCCUAAUUUUUGUACCUUUCACUUUUAUGCAUGCCGGAAAUUGUUGACAAUGACCUGUAUGUUCUAUGAGACCCACCAAGGUGAAUGCCGUCUCAGUAUUAGGGGGACGCGUUGUGGUUUAUCUCCACUAUGGAGUUUUUCCACUUCGGUCGGUGGUGUUGAUGAUUUUCCUACUUUGACUAUGUUCUCGGUGUGGUAAAUGGUGCUUAUGACUUAAAAAUCUUAUAUUAUGGCCAUCUGAGAUGGCCAAGGAGGGAUUGUUACAUAUUUUAAGCACAUAAGCUGCCCCCACAUAGCCACUGGGAAGCAGGAUCGAACACACAAGCUGCAUUACCCUCACAUAGCCACUAGGAAGCAGAAUCGAACAAAUAAGCUGCAAUAACUACUCCAGCCACAGAUGGCAGCACCUUUAGACAGGUGAGGAUGGCGGAGCCAUUACGUCACACCGGCCACGCCCACUCAACAUAGGCCACGCCCACUUUACGAUAGAGCGUUGGAUUUCAGAUGGAGAGGUGAGAGCUCAUAGGUAGACCCGCGGAGAGGACCGGGCCGAAGCCCG
ensembl:lncRNA